rnacentral:rRNA from 1 species
CCUACGGGUCGCACCAGUGGGGAAUAUUGGACAAUGGGCGAAAGCCUGAUCCAGCAAUGCCGCGUGUGAAGAAGGUCUUCGGAUUGUAAAGCACUUUCGACGGGGACGAUGAUGACGGUACCCGUAGAAGAAGCCCCGGCUAACUUCGUGCCAGCAGCCGCGGUAAUACGAAGGGGGCUAGCGUUGUUCGGAAUUACUGGGCGUAAAGCGCGCGUAGGCGGAUAGAUAAGUCAGAGGUGAAAUCCCGGGGCUCAACCCCGGAAUUGCCUUUGAUACUGUUUAUCUUGAGUGCAGAAGAGGUAAGUGGAAUUCCGAGUGUAGAGGUGAAAUUCAUAGAUAUUGGGAAGAACACCAGUGGCGAAGGCGGCUUACUGGUCUGCAACUGACGCUGAUGCGCGAAAGCGUGGGGAGCAAACAGGAUUAGAUACCCCGGUAGUC